AUGUGGUUCUUUUGCUUGCUUCAAGCUGUUGCUGUCAGUGCCUUGUUCGGACUGGUCUUAUGGGUUGGAGCAUUGGAUGGUGCACCUUUUCUGUGUGCUUCGUCACCAAGAGGGAUUUUCCGUUUUUUAUGUUUAUAUAGCAAGCUUUUUGUGUUAGCUUUCUGCUGCACAGAACUUCUAGUCUGUAAGAACUUCUCGGGGUUUCCCAUAAUGGAAAAUGGAGGCCCUCCUAUUUCUAAAAAUAAGAAAAUAAAAUACCUAUCUUUUGCCAAAACUUCUGUGUGUACGUCUGGUAUACUCCUGACCCAACAUGGGUCCCUGACUGCAAUAGUUAAUAUUUGA
rnacentral:rRNA from 1 species